rnacentral:rRNA from 1 species
UGCAAGUCGAACGGACUUAAUCGAUUCUUUUAGAUUCGAAGCGGUUAGUGGCGGACUGGUGAGUAACACGUAAGCAACCUGCCUGUUAGAGGGGAAUAACAGUGAGAAAUCACUGCUAAAACCGCAUAUGCCGUGAACAUCGCAUGAUGAAAACGGGAAAAGAGCAAUCUGCUAAUAGAUGGGCUUGCGUCUGAUUAGCUAGUUGGUGUGGUAAAGGCAUACCAAGGCAACGAUCAGUAGCCGGACUGAGAGGUUGAACGGCCACAUUGGGACUGAGAUACGGCCCAGACUCCUACGGGAGGCAGCAGUCGGGAAUAUUGCGCAAUGGAGGAAACUCUGACGCAGUGACGCCGCGUAUGGGAAGAAGGUUUUCGGAUUGUAAACCAUUUUAGACAAGGAAGAAACAAGACAGUACUUGUAGAAUAAGCUCCGGCUAACUACGUGCCAGCAGCCGCGGUAAUACGUAGGGAGCAAGCGUUAUCCGGAUUUAUUGGGUGUAAAGGGUGCGUAGACGGGAAGGUAAGUUAGUUGUGAAAUCCCUCGGCUCAACUGAGGAACUGCGACUAAAACUGCUUUUCUUGAGUGCUGGAGAGGAAAGUGGAAUUCCUAGUGUAGCGGUGAAAUGCGUAGAUAUUAGGAGGAACACCAGUGGCGAAGGCGACUUUCUGGACAGUAACUGACGUUGAG